AGCGAACGCUGGCGGCAGGCCUAACACAUGCAAGUCGAACGAACCUUUCGGGGUUAGUGGCGGACGGGUGAGUAACACGUGGGAACGUGCCUUUAGGUUCGGAAUAACUCAGGGAAACUUGUGCUAAUACCGAAUGUGCCCUUCGGGGGAAAGAUUUAUCGCCUUUAGAGCGGCCCGCGUCUGCUUAGCUAGUUGGUUGAGGUAAUGGCUCACCAGGGCGACGAUCAGUAGCUGGUCUGAGAGGAUGAUCAGCCACAUUGGGACUGAGACACGGCCCAAACUCCUACGGGAGGCAGCAGUGGGGAAUCUUGCGCAAUGGGCGAAAGCCUGACGCAGCCAUGCCGCGUGAAUGAUGAAGGUCUUAGGAUUGUAAAAUUCUUUCACCGGGGACGAUAAUGACGGUACCCGGAGAAGAAGCCCCGGCUAACUUCGUG
rnacentral:rRNA from 1 species